rnacentral:rRNA from 1 species
AGCUCCAAUAGCGUAUAUUAAAGUUGUUGCAGUUAAAAAGCUCGUAGUUGGAUUUCUGGUGGUAGGAAUGGGUCGACCUUUCUUAGAAGGGUGUUUCCCGUUUUCUAGCACCAUCCUUGGGAAGAAGCGUUUGGCAUUUAGUUGUCGGGCGUGUACUUUUCCCAUCGUUUACUGUGAAAAAAUUAGAGUGUUCAAAGCAGGCUUAUGCCGUUGAAUACAUUAGCAUGGAAUAAUAAGAUAGGACCUUGGUACUAUUUUGUUGGUUUGCGUACCUAGGUAAUGAUUAAUAGGGACAGUUGGGGGUAUUCGUAUUCAAUUGUCAGAGGUGAAAUUCUUGGAUUUAUGGAAGACGAACUACUGCGAAAGCAUUUACCAAGGAUGUUUUCA